rnacentral:misc_RNA from 1 species
GAAAUGCGAUAAGUAAUGUGAAUUGCAGUAUUCAGUGAAUCAUCGAAUCUUUGAACGCACAUUGCGCCCGCCAGUAUUCUGGCGGGCAUGCCUGUUCGAGCGUCAUUUCAACCAUCAAGCCCCCGGGCUUGUGUUGGGGACCUGCGGCUGCCGCAGGCCCCGAAAACCAGUGGCGGGCUCGCUGUCACACCGGGCGUAGUAGAUUUUUCGUCUCGCCCAGGGCGUGCUGCGGGUUCCGGCCGUUAAAAAGCCUCUCUUUUAACCCAAGGUUGACCUCGGAUCAGGUAGGAAGACCCGCUGAACUUAAGC